UUUUCUGGAGGGGGUGUAGGGGAACAAAAAGAGGACGUGUCUCCCCCCCGGCUUUUUCGUGACGGCUGUACGUUUACGCGCAAAAUAUUGUCAUAUCGAUAUUAAAUACAUUGAACACAAUGAAAAACCGAUGAUCGUAUACAUAUAAUUUUGUGGCGCAGGAUUAUUUUCACCGGCGGUUUCCCGUUGGUGGUCGACGACAUGGCGGAAAAAUCGAAAUGGUACCCGUGUAGGCGAAUCGUUUAGUAGUCUCAAUUACAAUCGACGGGUAGAAUCCGUCGGUGUGUGCGGUCAGAUAAUUCCGUCCGUUUUCCGCGCGUAUUAUUUUUAUGUUUAAUCCGUUACCUUUUCCGUCAGUUGACAAAUUUAUCGUCAUUUACGCGAUGACCAUAACCUCAUGCAAAAUGUACAACUAUCGAAUGCCUACACUGACGGGGCAGAGACCAACUGGAUUGUGUAGUGUACGUAGACGGAACAUCCAAAGUGUCGUUGGCCGACUUUCAAAAAAUAAACGUAUUCGCAGUCUUGUUUUAAGAUCCAAUCAAACUAAUCUACAAACUUUAAUGUACCCGGCACAUUUUGUUAAUUAAAUAAUAAAGCGCGAUAUUUGUGUUGUAUAUUUUUCAGUUCAUUAGAAAUUUAACUACCUACGUGCUCUUGGUUAUUUUAUAAAUAAUUAUACGACCGUAAUAAAUACUAUUGUAGGAAAUAUAGGAACACAGCCGUACAAUGUUGUGCUACGUAAACUUACGUAUUAUACCAGUCAAUAAGUCAACAGGAAGGUACAACGUGUCGCAUUGAGAAAAUACAGUGCCCUCACCCUGGAUUU